CAGAACGAACGCUGGCGGCGUGCUUAAUACAUGCAAGUCGAACGUGAUUCCCGACUUCGGUUGGGAUGAAAGUGGCGAACGGGUGAGUAACACGUAAGUAAUCUGCCUUCAAGUUUUGGGAUAACCCUGCCAACGCGGGGGCUAAUACCGGAUGUGGUCCAGCAGACCCAUGUUUGCGGGAUUAAAGGUCGCGAGACCGCUUGGAGAUGAGCUUGCGGCCCAUUAGCUAGUUGGUGAGGUAACGGCCCACCAAGGCAGGGAUGGGUAGCCGGCCUGAGAGGGUGUACGGCCACAUUGGGACUGAGAUACGGCCCAGACUCCUACGGGAGGCAGCAGUAGGGAAUUUUGCGCAAUGGACGGAAGUCUGACGCAAGCAACGCCGCGUGAAGGAUGAAGGCCUUCGGGUUGUAAACUUCUGUUGGAUGGGAAAAAAGCCUUUUAAGAGGAAUUGAUGGUACCAUUCGAGUAAGCACCGGCUAACUACGUGCCAGCCGCAGC
rnacentral:rRNA from 1 species